rnacentral:rRNA from 1 species
GACGAACGCUGGCGGCAUGCCUAACACAUGCAAGUCGAACGAUACCUUCGGUUCUGGGGGCGCCCGGUUGCGUACCGCGUGGUAACCUGCCCUUAAGCUCGGCAUAACUCCCCGAUAAGGCUGGUAAUCCCGUAUAAUUUCUUCAGACCAAAGACUUAUCGCCUUUGGGUGUGCCCGCGUUGGAUUGGCUAGUGGUGAAGGUACACGCCUACCAAGGCGACGAGCCGUAGCUGGUCGGAGAGGAUGAUCAGUCAGACUGGGACUGAGCCACGGCCCAGACUCCUACGGGAGGCAGCAGUGGGGAAUAUUGGACAGUGGGCCAAAGGCUGCUACAGCACGGGCGCGAGAGCGAUGAAGGCGUUAGGGUUGGAAAGCUCUUUUAACCGGGAUGAUAAUGACAGUACCGGGAGAAUAAGCACCGGCUAACUACGUG